rnacentral:lncRNA from 1 species
CUCUUCGGGGACGCACGGUUGGAAGUUGUACCGUGACGUGAUGGUCAGAUCGGAUGAUAGAAUUUUGGUGCGUAACAAUUCCAACUUUUGCUUCUGUGCCCUUCAAGUGUAUUUUAUCCGUGCCCCAGUUUUGCAGAUGAGGAGACUCGGACUUGUAAGUAACUUUCUGUAGGUCUUUGCUGGGUCCUAGACUGGAUCGAAACCCAAAUAUUCUGACCCCAACUGCAGGAUUUUUCCACUGCACCUGGCUGCCUCCGCCCUGGCCCCAGAUUGGCUCCUCCAGAAACAGACUAGCCCGGCCCUUUGCCCUGCUGGGCCCUCCUGGGAGAGCGCUUUUCACAACAUUGGCUGGGAUGAGGGUCUGGAGGGCCCGGAACGGAGCCUGCCUUCUCCUUCUCAGUCACGCUUGGCCCAGGCUGCCCCGGACCGGGCCACAUCCUUGGCCGCCCCGCACCUGACGUGAGAAGAGGCUACGUAUCAUAGAUUCCUCCAUCAGUAGUAAGGAGCCUGAGUUUCUGUCUCAGGUCAGCUUGUGUGGCUUUGAAUGAGAGGCUCUGGUCUGCAGUUUUCACAUCUGCAUCGUCUAAAGGCAAGGGCACAGACUUUACUGCCUGGUAGACAUGGGGUAGGCCCUCCUUUAUUGGCAGUGUGACCCUGGGCAAAUUACUUGUCUUAAUCUCCAAUUCCACACCUGUGAAACCCCACCUCCAAGGUUGUGGGAACCCAAAAGAAUGUAUGUAAAGCACCUGUUGCAUUGUAGGAAUCUACUUAAUAUUACUGUAGGAGGUUGAAC